rnacentral:rRNA from 1 species
CACCGCGGUUAUACGGGUGGCUCAAGAUGAUAGACUUCGGCGUAAAGAGUGGUUAAGGCGUACUUUAAACUAAAGCCGAAUGCCCUUGAAGCUGUUAUACGCACUCGAGAGUGAGAAGCCCAACUACGAAAGUGGCUUUACUACCCCUGAACCCACGAAAGCUAUGACA